UUAGCUCAUAUUUGUAUAGAAUGGAAUCGUUUGCCUACGUUUGCCGCUAGGGGCGCUGUUCCAACUGCAUACAAAAUUGGGUUA
rnacentral:pre_miRNA from 1 species